AUCGCAUCCUGUCUCCAUCUCUCUUUUCUCUUGCCCUGUCCCCAUCCCCAAUCCCCUCUCCAGGUGAGACCCACAAACUGGUCCGCAGGCCAGAUCAGGGCAUGUGGAUGCUGUCUUAAAGAGUAGAAGACAAAAUUCAACCAGCCUGUCCACCCUGGAACUGGGGUUUGGCUCAGUGGCACAAGCGCCUGCCUGGAAGUGCAAAGUUGUGAGUUCCAUCCCUGGUACAAAAUCAUCAUCAUCGAAGAAAGCACCUCCCUCCCUGAUAAAGAAACACCUAGUAGACUAGCAAAGUGUUUUCCCGGAUGUGUCUUAGUGAAUCUUGGAGCCCUGGUCCCAAGCGUGUUCCCAAGCCAGUUCCUCUCUGGAACUGUCGCUGCUCUGCUUCCCAGCAUCUGUGAACUAAGGAGCUUUGGUCAACCAUGAAGUUUCCACCACGGAAUCUAUCACCAAAAUACCCUGAAAUUUUCAUCUAAA